CCGGACACCGCGCACCCGCACCGCGCACGGAGAGCGCCCCCGCAGCGCCGAGCGCGGCUGCCGCCGCCAGCCGGGCAACACGCGAGCGGCGGUGAAACACACAGCGAGCCCUGCCGAAGGAGGCCACGGUUUCCGCACACCUGCUGCUGCACCCCCCGCUCCCAGCCCCGCAGGAUUUGUUCGCAGCUUGUUCUGCCUGCGCGCCCAGCUCCGGCGCAGCAGUCAGAACACUGUCCAGGUGCCCGGGACAGGGCUCCGCAGUGUCACGAGUCUGCCUUUCCAUCAGGCCAGAGCUUGUGCUAGGUUUCACCAGAGAAGACGCCGGAAGAGCAGAGCUGCGUUCUCCUCCGAUACCUCCCCUCCAAACAAGGCAUUGCUGCAGGACAGUGGUCUUUCUCUCCUGUAGUCAUCAGCUGCUAAGUGGAGGCACAUCACCCAGGGAAGUAAUUUAAAACAACACUCUUUGUUCAGCACGCAGUUGGCAGCAAGUGCCUGCCAGCCAUUCAUGCAACUGGUUUCUUUCUCUAUGCUCUGUUCCUUUCUCUUUCAGACAACACACUUUCAGCCCCCUUCUCAGAUAUUCCCCCUGUACAGAGACAGAAGCUUUUGCCUUUUGGGCUGACAUCUGACAACCCUCUCCAAGGCACAUUUCCACCCACUGACAGUCCGUGUCUGGAAAAAUGUUUUGGCUACAUUCAGAUCAAACCAGAAUUUUCAAAACCUGUGUUGAAAGAUACUGGUUUAGCAUGAGUAAGUUUUCAGCAGAAUGAGAUACAUAGUUAUAAUAUACAAUUUAGUAUGCCGUUUGCUUAGCUUUACUUGCUCAGGAUGAGUAGCUGGAUUUGCUGAAGCCUUGGGCUGCAAACCAUGAACUUACACCUCCAUAGCUGAAAUUAGUUUUCCUAAUAAUUUUCCUAGUAGCUGGCACAUUGCUGUGUUUUGUCUUUAGUACAGGAAAAAUAUUGAUAGCACACUGUUGUUUUCAUUGUUGAUAAAUGUGUUUAUCCUAACUCCUGGGCUUUUUUUGGUUCCCAUGCUGCUAGCAAGCAGGUUCAGAAGAUAAGGAGACAACUGUCAGCAAAGCUGCAGCUUCAUAAGAACCAUCAACAGCCUUCCUGCACAGACACAGAGAAACACCUCAGUAGGGUGUUAAAGAUCCAGACCGAAAUAACCACUGGGCCAAGAGGCUUGAUGCAAGCUGCAUGCAGGACAGGCACUUAGUCUCAAAGGAAAACAAGACUUUGUGACGUACCAGAGACAGAGCAGACAAGUCAACUAAAAACUAGCUCUGGAAGAAGCUAAACCAUUCCCAUCUCUCUAAGAACUUGGUCUGCUGCUACAUAAAGCUCCUUGCAGUCAAACAACAGUGUCCCUUUCCAUCAGCCGGCCUUCUACAGCAAUGCCUUCACCACACCAGGUGUGAUUUCUGAACCACCCCAAAGAAGGAUGCACCAGAGAUAUAGCAAUAAAAUUAAAUAAAAAAUAUAGCAGCCUG